rnacentral:rRNA from 1 species
GGAUUAGAUACCCUGGUAGUCCACGCCCUAAACGAUGUGUGCUAGCUGUCGGGACCUUUAGGUUUCGGUAGCGCAGCUAACGCAUUAAGCACACCGCCUGGGGAGUACGGUCGCAAGAUUAAAACUCAAAGGAAUUGACGGGGACCCGCACAAGCGGUGGAGCAUGUUGUUUAAUUCGAAGCAACGCGAAGAACCUUACCCACACUUGACAUCCUGAUCGCGAUUACCAGAGAUGGUUUUCUUCAGUUCGGCUGGAUCAGUGACAGGUGCUGCAUGGCUGUCGUCAGCUCGUGCCG